rnacentral:rRNA from 1 species
AUUGAACGCUGGCGGAAUGCUUUACACAUGCAAGUCGAACGGUAGAGGGGGCAACCCCUCGAGAGUGGCGAACGGGUGAGUAAUAUAUCGGAACGUGCCCAGUCGUGGGGGAUAACGUAGCGAAAGUUACGCUAAUACCGCAUACGAUCUAAGGACGAAAGCGGGGGAUCGAACGACCUCGCGCGAUUGGAGCGGCCGAUAUCAGAUUAGGUAGUUGGUGGGGUAAAGGCUCACCAAGCCAACGAUCUGUAGCUGGUCUGAGAGGACGACCAGCCACACUGGAGCUGAGACACGGUCCAGACUCCUACGGGAGGCAGCAGUGGGGAAUUUUGGACAAUGGACGCAAGUCUGAUCCAGCCAUUCCGCGUGCAGGAUGAAGGCCCUCGGGUUGUAAACUGCUUUUGUACGGAACGAAAAGGUCUCUCUUAAUACGGGGGACUCAUGACGGUACCGUAAGAAUAAGCACCGGCUAACUACGUGCCAGCCGCCGCCGUAACAC